rnacentral:rRNA from 1 species
UACGGAGGGUGCAAGCGUUAUCCGGAUUCACUGGGUUUAAAGGGUGCGUAGGCGGGUAAGUAAGUCAGUGGUGAAAUCUCCGGGCUUAACUCGGAAACUGCCGUUGAUACUAUUUAUCUUGAAUAUCAUGGAGGUAAGCGGAAUAUGUCAUGUAGCGGUGAAAUGCUUAGAUAUGACAUAGAACACCGAUAGCGAAGGCAGCUUACUGCAUGUUAAUUGACGCUGAGGCACGAAAGCGUGGGGAGCAAACAGG